CACGUAGGGUCCAAGCGUUGUCCGGCUUUAUUGGGCGUAAAGCGCUCGUAGGCGGUUCAGCAAGUCGGGUGUGAAAACUCUGGGCUCAACCCGGAGACGCCACCCGAUACUGCUGUGACUUGAGUCCGGUAGGGGAGUGGGGAAUUCCUGGUGUAGCGGUGAAAUGCGCAGAUAUCAGGAGGAACACCGGUGGCGAAGGCGCUACUCUGGGCCGGUACUGACGCUGAGGAGCGAAAGCGUGGGUAGCAAACAGG
rnacentral:rRNA from 1 species